GGAUUAGCUCAGCUGGUAGAGCGCCUGAUUUGCAUUCAGGAGGCCAGCGGUUCGAUCCCGCCAUCCUCCACCA
rnacentral:tRNA from 1 species